AAAUGCGAUAAGUAUGUGAAUUGCAGAAUUCAGUGAAUCAUCGAAUCUUUGAACGCACCUUGCGCUCCUUGGUAUUCCUUGGAGCAUGCCUGUUUGAGUAUCAUGAAAUCUUCAAAGUAAAUCUUUUGUUAACUCAAUUGGUUUCUACUUUGGUAUUGGAGGUCUUUGCAGCUUCACACCUGCUCCUCUUUGUUCAUUAGCUGGAUCUCAGUGUUAUGCUUGGUUCCACUCGGCGUGAUAAGUUAUCUAUCGCUGAGGACACUGUAAAAGGUGGCCAAGGUAAAUGCAGAUGAACCGCUUCUAAUAGUCCAUUGACUUGGACAAUACUUUUAUGAUCUGAUCUCAAAUCAGGUAGGACUACCCGCUGAACUUAAGC
rnacentral:misc_RNA from 1 species